GCGCCUCAUUAGACUGGAAGGACAGAAAUACCGAAAGCUACGUGGAAGAAAUGGAUUUCACGUGGAAUCUGCCUCCGGCUACAUAGGGACGCGUUAGAACGCUGACUAAACGCGAAGGCUUGAGAUUCAGGCGGAUACGGACCUCGCGUUCAUUCUCAAGUGUGCUUGUGCUGGGCAACAUUCCAUCAUAGCCGUGAUGAUGAUGUUGAUGUAUGAAUUCGGGAUGACAGGAAUCGGUUCACCGAGGUGUUUCAACCGAUUGGUCGGAUCUCGAGGGUCACGUGGUUCUCAUGUAAUAUGGGAAAGUCAGACCUCGGAGGAAAAGGAGACUUUGGAAAUCAGUGAUAAAACACGGAAAUCUGCUGCCCUCAGAUCAGGAGUCGGAAGACGAGCGGAGAGUGGGAGUAGCGAUAGUGGUGGAGGAGUGAACCCAGAGCAGGUGAACACAGCUGCGGACCGCCAUGGGCUCUCUUCCAUUGGUCCCGACUCUCCAUCUUCAGGUCUCUGAGAGACGGCAGGGUUCAGCCAGGGAGCGCCGGAGUGGGCAGGCGAGGCAGCUCGCUUUCCCCGCUGGCUACCGGCUCCUCGGCAGCGAGGAGGGAGAGAAAUCAAUACUGAGGAGAGAUGCUGCCAGGGGUCACCCAACGCUACCUCCAGCCAUGGAGCCAUGGGAGCCCAAGUGUUCAGCUUUCUCUCUCACAGCCCAAUCUCAGUCAACUCGCAUCAGCUAAAGAGAGGGCCAACAGCCUUGACGCUCUUCAUGCUAGACUGUGUGUGUGUGUGUGUGUGUGUGUGUGUGUGUGUGCAUGUGUGGUUCUGCCAGAGGGCCUUUUCAGGCUCGGCAUCACUUGAUAAAACUGUGCCUGCCGGAGAACGAGUAGAAAAAGAAUGUCAAAGGUCUUUCUUUCACCCAUCUUUGAUUCCUUUUUCGCCAUGAGUGCACAUUCCCCCUGACUGUUGUAAUGAGUGCUUGACGGAGAUCUCUUUUACGCUAAAUCAAGAGGCCUUCUUUUUUUAGUGGUCCUCCUCCUAAGCAUGCACAAAGUGCUCUACAUCUGAUGGACUGGGAUGAGAGAGCAGUUUGAAUCCUUUUUCCACCUAUUCAAUGAUUGUUUUCCAUGAUUUUUUUAAGGACACCACUAUUCGAGAGGCUCGGAAAAGGACAUGGCCUUGAUUUGUAGGUGAAGGGUUUGGCACUUAACCUUCCCAGGCACUUUGUAACGGCUUUCAACAUUGACAAUGGCACUUGAUUGGUAUUAAUAACAUUGCAGAGAAAUCGAGGACAGUGCGAGAUGGAGAAGUUCCAAAAAGUUGCUCCCACAAGGCUGCAGAUCCAUUGGGAUGUGGACAACUAAAACGUGGCCUGAACUAGAUGUUAACAAUUCAAAAAGUGGAGUGCUGGUGGUUGUGGAUGGUUCCUGUAUUCUUGGAUGCUCACCGGGAACAAUUUGGAUUCGGUAAUCAAAGAUUUCAGUAAUCUGUAUGCUUGGGUUAAGUAAUGUUAGCUUUAUGUUGUGUUGUAGUUGCUGGUUGAAGGUCCUGAUUUGCAUUAUGUAAAACAAACAAAGUGCCAGACAAUUGUAUAGAUACCCGUCAUCCUGUCACGACUCCACUUGGUAGCGCAUUCGACAAAAUGGCCACCGAUGCCUGCCAGCUGCCUCCCUGCCAAGAUGGUGGCAUCUUAAACGCUGCCCAUCUGCCUAAUCAAGGGCGAUUAUUUGGCUUCCAGAUAAUUGCAUUUGAAUAUGCUUAUUCCCCUUGUAUAUUAUUGGUUGGGCCAGUAAUUUAUGCUGCUUUUGAAACACACAGGGCAUAUGUGCCUGUUUCCUUGAUUGCUUGUAUCCUUUUACAGUCUGUCUGUCUUUAUGUUAAGCUGCGGUAGCGUUCUGUCAUUCGAAAUGGAAGAAAAAUAUGGUGUUAACACACACAAAGCAUCUGAUGCCUGUGCCAUCUGUGACAUCUGCAAAUGGGUAGUCUAGCUACGUAAAUCCCUCACUCGCAGGGCCCGGUUCCAGACAGCCUCCCAUAAUGACCUCAUUAGCAUGCACAGCACUCCUCACCAUAGGCCCUGGUGCACUGCUGUGCCGUGGGUCCCGACAAUCCGCGCCCUUCACCCACACGCUUGCCCGGCAACAUUGUGUUCCUCCUUACAAUACAAAACUUCACACUUGUUUGAUUACAAUCAUGUCAGAGGAGCUGAAGAUCUGAAAGGGGCUUAGGCAGUUAGCCUGCCUGCUCAGGGAGAGUACAAGUCUGUGGGGUUUUUUUUUAGCUGCGCCAAUAAAGUGGUUAUUUGGUUGAGUCA
ensembl:lncRNA